CCUACGGGUGGCAGCAGUGGGGAAUAUUGGACAAUGGGCGAAAGCCUGAUCCAGCCAUGCCGCGUGUGUGAAGAAGGCCUUCGGGUUGUAAAGCACUUUCAGUGGGGAAGAAAGCCUUGGGGCUAAUACCCUCGAGGAAGGACAUCACCCACAGAAGAAGCACCGGCUAACUCCGUGCCAGCAGCCGCGGUAAUACGGAGGGUGCGAGCGUUAAUCGGAAUUACUGGGCGUAAAGCGCGCGUAGGCGGUCUGAUAAGCCGGUUGUGAAAGCCCCGGUCUCAACCUGGGAACGGCAUCCGGAACUGUCAGGCUAGAGUGCAGGAGAGGAAGGUAGAAUUCCCGGUGUAGCGGUGAAAUGCGUAGAGAUCGGGAGGAAUACCAGUGGCGAAGGCGGCCUUCUGGACUGACACUGACGCUGAGGUGCGAAAGCGUGGGUAGCAAACAGGAUUAGAUACCCUAGUAGUC
rnacentral:rRNA from 1 species